GUCUACAGAUGGUGAGUCAACAAAAGGAAGUCAAGAACCUGAACCAGCCCACCAACAACGAUGAAAAGUCAGCAGUGUGCAACCUGGAAGAGGGUCCUCACCAGAACCUGACCAGGUUGGCACACUCAUCUCAGACUUCCAGCCUCCAGAGGCUGGUCUGCGAUUUGCUUUGGCUGACAGAAUAUGAUGAAGUGAUGUUAUAUGGGUUCCUUACUCAGCCUUUAAGUGGUCUUGCAGCUACUGCUCUCUACUCCACACUGCUACCACCAUCUGAAGAACCCUACAGUAGGAGACACUUGGCCCAGAUAAGUAAGAUCAAUUCACAUCAUGGAACCCCAGGAUUUGAACCACAGGAUAACUGCAGUCACAGGUUCACAAAGAAAAAGAGUAUGCAGUGAGAAGGACAAGUCUCAUAACCACAUGUUGUUAAUGAAGAAGCUGAGGCACCAAGCGACUUAAGGAUUUGACCAAAAUCAGACAGCAGCAGAUUCAAAGAUAAUGCCAGCUCCUCAUCUCCGUUUCUGGUGCUGUUUACACCGUGAUACUUCAACACUGAAAGAAAUACCUAUCAAUUCUCGUACAACUUUAAAGAUGCAUUCUUACUGUCUCGAGGCAUCCUCUAAUUUUGUGUUCCUAUUUGCUUCAUCUAGUUUAGGUUAUUAACUCCUAAAGGCUAGGGCAUACAUUUUGAAAUUUUUUUUCUCAGGACAUUAGGAACCUUAAUAAAUUACUUUUGAUGGUUACUUUCCACAA
rnacentral:sRNA from 1 species